rnacentral:rRNA from 1 species
GAUGAACGCUAGCGGCAGGCUUAACACAUGCAAGUCGAGGGGUAUGGUUCUUCGGAACCAGAGACCGGCGCACGGGUGCGUAACGCGUAUGCAAUCUGCCUUUUACAGAGGGAUAGCCCAGAGAAAUUUGGAUUAAUACCUCAUAGUAUAGCUCUACCGCAUAGUAGUACUAUUAAAGCCACAACGGUAAAAGAUGAGCA